AAGUCGUAACAAGGUUUCCGUAGGUGAACCUGCGGAAGGAUCAUUACCGAACAACCAAAUCCUCUGUGCCUCCUUGUAGCAGGCAGGAUCGGGGUUCCAAGAGCGGUCGCCUUCCAGCACCCCUUGGUCUCCAUGCUGCCACUACGUCCUCCUAUUUUACCAAACAAAACCCGUCUGUCGCAUGUUUGUGGCAUCCCCUUGUCGGGCUUGCCCUUUAAACAUAUCAAACAUAACUUUCAACAACGGAUCUCUUGGCUCUC
rnacentral:misc_RNA from 1 species